rnacentral:rRNA from 1 species
AUUGAACGCUGGCGGCAGGCCUAACACAUGCAAGUCGAACGAGUGGCGGACGGGUGAGUAAUGUCUGGGAAACUGCAUGAUGGAGGGGGAUAACUACUGGACACGGUAGCUAAUACCGCAUACCAUCGAAUGUACCCAGAUGGGAUUAGCUAGUAGGUGGGGUAAAGGCUACCCUAGGCGACUAUCCCUAGCUGGUCUGAGAGGAUGACCAGCCACACUGGAACUGAGACACGGUCCAGACGCCUACGGGAGGCAGCAGGGGGGAAUAUUGCACAAUGGGCGCAAGCCUGAUGCAGCCAUGCCGCGGGUAUGAAGAAGGCCUUCGGGUUGUAAAGUACUUUCAGCGGGGAGGCGUUACCCGCAGAAGAAGCACCGGCUAACUCCGUGCCAGCCGCCGCGGUAAUAC